GUAAUAACCCGCCACGAGUAAUUCCGUUUUCAAAAUUUCGUCGCUUUAGAGAGCGCGUGAGCACCGCAAGUAUCUCUCCUCCUCCGCCCUCUCCUCGGUGUCAUUGCCAACAGUUCGCUAACGUGCAGAAAGAGGUGUAUGUGUGUGUGGAUAUUGAGUUAAUCGAAAUUUUAGGGGAUUUUGAAUUGAUUAUUCAAUGGCCGCACCACCAGCAAGGGCACGAGCAGAUUACGAUUACCUCAUAAAGCUCCUCUUGAUCGGCGACAGCGGUGUUGGUAAGAGUUGCCUUCUUUUGCGUUUUUCUGAUGGUUCCUUUACCACAAACUUUAUCACCACCAUUGGGAUUGAUUUUAAAAUACGGACCAUUGAGCUUGAAGGGAAAAGGAUCAAACUACAAAUCUGGGAUACGGCUGGUCAGGAACGGUUCCGAACAAUCACCACUGCUUACUAUCGUGGAGCCAUGGGUAUAUUGUUGGUUUAUGACGUUACUGAUGAGUCUUCCUUUAACAACAUUACGAACUGGAUUCGUAACAUUGAGCAGCAUGCUUCAGACAAUGUCAACAAAAUACUUGUAGGGAACAAGGCUGACAUGGAUGAAAGCAAGAGGGCUGUCCCUACCUCUAAGGGUCAAGCACUUGCCGAUGAGUAUGGUAUUAAAUUUUUUGAAACUAGUGCCAAAACAAAUCUUAACGUGGAACAAGUUUUCAUGUCAAUAGCAAAGGAUAUAAAGCAAAGGCUUUCAGACACAGACUCCAAAGCGGAGCCUUCGACGAUCAAAAUUAAUCAACCAGACACAGGAACUGGAGGCGGUCAACUUGGCCAAAAAUCAGCUUGCUGUGGUUCAUAAAUGGACUGAUCCCUACAGGACCAGGUGCACUCAUUGAUCUCUAAACCACCAAGAAGAGCAAACAAAGGCUAAUUUUGAAGGAAAUAUUUGCUGUACUUGUAAUAUUUUUAUUGUUCAUUCUUUUGUCUUAGAGUGGUGUGAAGGAUAGGUUGAUUACCAUGUGAGAAGUCAAAUUUGUUACUAACGCCGUUCCUGUUUCAUUUUCUACUUCAUUAGGUCAAGGAUGUGAAUGUGAUAACCUAACAUUUUCUCAAGUUUACAUUGUGUUGCAGGAUUUUAUUCAUUGGAAAGAUUUGGAUUAAGGAUGGUGGGGACAGAGUAAAAGAGUUGAACAAUUCAUCUGGUUUAAAAAACUAGGCACCAGUAUUUCAUGAAAGAUUAAAUGUACUUGGAACUUGAAUUUUUACCAUAUUCUGUCUAUUUUAUGGGGUUUGAAAUCGA